GACGAACGCUGGCGGCGUGCUUAACACAUGCAAGUCGAACGAAGAGCGAUGAAGCUUGCUUCUAUCAAUCUUAGUGGCGAACGGGUUAGUAACGCGUAAUCAACCUGCCCUUCAGAGGGGGACAACAGUUGGAAACGACUGCUAAUACCGCAUACGAUCUGACCUCGGCAUCGAGGAUAGAUGAAAGGUGGCCUCUACAUGUAAGCUAUCACUGAAUGAGGGGGUUGCGUCUGAUUAGCUAGUUGGAGGGGUAACGGCCCACCAAGGCGAUGAUCAGUAGCCGGUCUGAGAGGAUGAACGGCCACAUUGGGACUGAGACACGGCCCAGACUCCUACGGGAGGCAGCAGUGGGGAAUCUUCCGCAAUGGACGAAAGUCUGACGGAGCAACGCCGCGUGAGUGAUGACGGCCUUCGGGUUGUAAAGCUCUGUUAAUCGGGACGAAAGGCCUUUUUGCGAAUAGUGAGAAGGAUUGACGGUACCGGAAGAGAAAGCCACGGCUAACUACGUG
rnacentral:rRNA from 1 species